rnacentral:rRNA from 1 species
GUACUUACUCCUACGGGAGGCAGCAGUGGGGAAUUUUGGACUAUGGGGGCAACCCUGAUCCAGCAAUGCCGCGUGAGUGAAGAAGGCCUUCGGGUUGUAAACUGCUUUUGUACGGAACGAAACGGCGAGCUCUAAUACAGUUUGCUAAUGACGGUACCGUAAGAAUAAGCACCGGCUAACUACGUGCCAGCAGCCGCGGUAAUACGUAGGGUGCAAGCGUUAAUCGGAAUUACUGGGCGUAAAGCGUGCGCAGGCGGUUUUGUAAGACAGUCGUGAAAUCCCCGGGCUCAACCUGGGAAUGGCGAUUGUGACUGCAAAGCUGGAGUGCGGCAGAGGGGGAUGGAAUUCCGCGUGUAGCAGUGAAAUGCGUAGAUAUGCGGAGGAACACCGAUGGCGAAGGCAAUCCCCUGGGCCUGCACUGACGCUCAUGCACGAAAGCGUGGGGAGCAAACAGGAUUAGAUACCCCUGUAGUCCAGGCAU